rnacentral:sRNA from 1 species
UUAUAACUUAUGGACGAUCUAUUGCUUUUCAUAGUGCAGUAAGUUUGGACCCAAUUAAAUCCUUUGAAGCUCCUGCAACCAUCAAUUCUGCAUCUCUUCAUCCUGAGAAAGAAUUUCUUGUUGCAGGUGGUGAAGAUUUUAAACUUUAUAAGUAUGAUUAUAAUAGUGGAGAAGAAUUAGGUGAGUUGUCCCCUUAUAGUGAUGUGGUUACCUUUAUCAUAUGUUAAGUCCCAGUAAUAAACACCUCAUUUUUAUAUAUAUAUAUAUGUUACAUAUAUAUGUUGAAAGUAAAUUUUUCAGCUAACUUAAGCUUGGUGCUUACAAGUGAAAAAGGAGUUUUAACCAUUUGGGUCAGAUGCUUUUAUAGAUCUGUAAACAAAGUAUGCAGAAAUUUAUCCUUUUAACUAAAGUUCAUCAUUAUGCUGAUGUUA